GAUGAACGCUGGCGGCGUGCCUAAUACAUGCAAGUCGAGCGAACAGACGCGGAGCUUGCUCCUCUGACGUUAGCGGCGGACGGGUGAGUAACACGUGGAUAACCUACCUAUAUGACUGGGAUAUUUUCGGAAAAGCGGAGAUUAUACCGGAUAAUAUAUUGAACCGCAUGGGGUGAUAGUAAAAUUCGGUUUUGCUGGCAGUUAUAGAUGGAUCCGCGCCGGAUGAGCUAGUUGGUACGUUAACGGCUUACGAAGGCAACGAUGCGUAGCCGAUCUGAGAGGGUGAUCGGCCACACGGGAACUGAGACACGCACCAGACUCCUACGGGACGCAGCAGUAUCGUAUCGUCGGCAGAGGUCGAAAGCAUUGCGGAACAAGGCCGCGUCUGUUGUAAAGGCCUCCGGAUCGUGAAACUCUGUUAUUAGUGAAGAACCAAUGUGUAAUUAAAUAUACACGGCUUGACGGUACCUAGUCAGAAAGCAACGGCUAACUACGUG
rnacentral:rRNA from 1 species